rnacentral:lncRNA from 1 species
AUAUAUUCUAUCGAUAUGAAUUCUGAGGUUGGAUUUGAUUACUAUUCUAGGCGGCGAUCGUCGUGACGCCUUGAUGUGUGGUGCUAGGGAGUUGUUGGACGAACUCCAGGUGAGUGGGCAGUUUUGUUUUCCGUAUAUAUAUAUAUAUAUACUUAACGUUUUCCCAGAAAUUGAAAAUGCAUGAAAUUAUGUUUAAAAUGAAAUGCAUAUGAGUUAUGUGGAAAAACGGGAAGUGAAAUACCAUGCAUAGAAUUGAUAUGAAAAGUAUAUAGAAAUGUGAGUUGAAAUGCCAUGCAUGAAUUAAUAUAUGAUGCAUAUGUAUGAAUUGGUGCGGUGGACGCACAGGUAAGAAUUGAUUUAUGAUGCAUAUGUAUGAAUUGGUGCGGUGGACGCACAUGUAAGAAUUGAUUUAUGAUGCAUAUGUAUGAAAUGGUGCGGUGGACGCACAGAUGAGUAUUUAAUUACUGUUAUGAUGAUGAUGAUAUAUAUUGAGCUCAAAUCCUGCACCAUGGUUUAGUGCUUAUAGUAUUCACCGCAUCGCACGCUCGCCUUGGAUCCAAGUAGAUGCUAGUCGUACAGUCCACGCGGAGUGGGUACGACAGACCAGUCGCGAGAGUGUUAGUGAGAUUCCGACUGGUGGGUGACCUUAGAUUAUGUGCACAGAUGAUUUAUGAGAAGCACUAGAGCGUAACUUGCGUGCAGAAGGCCGGACGGGUCACAGAGGUGACUCCGGUAGAGAGUGAUAAUGAUAGAUUUUGAGCUCUAGGUUCAACCGUAUAGGGCUAUUAGAGGGCCUACGGUUGAUUACUUUCUUGCACCUGAUAUGAUUAUGUUGAUGCAUUCAUACCUUAUUACUGUUGAGAUGAUGUGGCAUGGCAUAAUUAAUAUGAGAAAUGUUGAGAUGACAUGGCAUGGCAUGAUUGAUAAAGAGAUAAUGUUGAGAUAGUAAAAAUGAAGUUUUGAGAAUAUAUAUGUAUAUUUAUAUUUUACAUUUCUGGGAAAGUAUACAGGUUUUACGGAG